CAUCUCUGAAGUAAGGCAGGUAUUUUCCUCAUGCUAAAUCAUCAGCCCUGUGGAUGCCAGAAAGUCAUAGCAAUUAAAAUACAGAAAGGUCACCUUCUGAUGUAUUGGGG